ensembl:lncRNA novel transcript
GAAGAAGUGGCAAAAUGUGAAAAGCAAGAAGCAAGUAUUACCAGAGACACCUAUGAAAAAGAAAUCUUUCUGAAGAACAUUUUUAAAGUGCCAUAAUCUGUUCGCACUGCCCAUACUUCUGAAAGCAGUACUUUCAUUUUCAACUCAGAGGUUGAGCCUGGUUUCUCAACUCAAGCUGCAUAUUAGAAUCAGCUGGGAAGCUUUUAAGAAAUCCCAACAGCCAGGCCACAAACCAGACCAACUAAUGCAGAACCUCUGAGGGUAGAACACAGCUCAUGGCCCAUAGUGUUGGUGAGGCCAACACUAUAGCUGCAAGCACUUACUUCAUUUAAGAAGUUUAUCGAGAGCUUUAUAAAUAAAUUCUGUUCUCCAUCUA